AUUGAACGCUGGCGGCAGGCCUAACACAUGCAAGUCGAGCGAGCGGCGGACGGGUGAGUAAUGUAUGGGGACUGCCCGAUAGCGGGGGAUAACUACUGGAAACGGUAGCUAAUACCGCACACUAUCGGCUACGCCAUAUGGGAUUAGCUAGUAGGUGAGGUAAUGGCUCACCUAGGCGACGAUCCCUAGCUGGUCUGAGAGGAUGAUCAGCCACACGUGGACUGAGACACGGCCCAGACUCCGACGGAGGCAGCAGUAGGGAAUAUUGCACAAUGGGCGAAAGCCUGAUGCAGCCAUGCCGCGUGUAUGAAGAAGGCCCUAGGGUGGUAAAGUACUUUCAGUCGGGAGGCGUUACCGACAGAAGAAGCACCGGCUAACUACGUGCCAGCAGCCGCGGUAAUAC
rnacentral:rRNA from 1 species